GCUUAUCACCAUUCCAGAUUGAAUAUACCCGAUCUCGUCUGAUCUCGGAAGUCAAGCAAUCUCGGGCUUGGUUAGUACUUGGAGAGGUGACCGC
rnacentral:rRNA from 1 species